UACGGAGGGGGCUAGCGUUGUCCGAAGUUACUGGGCGUAAAGCGCGCGUAGGCGGGUUGGUAAGUCCGCUGUGAAAGUCGAGGGCUCAACCCUCGAAUGCCGGUGGAUACUGUCGGGCUUGAGUACGGGAGAGGCGAGUGGAAUUCCUGGUGUAGCGGUGAAAUGCGCAGAUAUCAGGAGGAACACCGAUUGCGAAGGCAGCUCGCUGGAACGUUACUGACGCUGAGACGCGAAAGCGUGGGGAGCAAACAGG
rnacentral:rRNA from 1 species